UACAGAGGGUGCGAGCGUUGUUCGGAAUUAUUGGGCGUAAAGCGCUGGUAGGUGGCUUGUUAAGUCGCGUGUGAAAUCUCCAGGCUCAACUUGGAAAGUGCGCGCGAAACUGGCGAGCUUGAGUGCCGGAGAGGGUCGCGGAAUUCCCGGUGUAGAGGUGAAAUUCGUAGAUAUCGGGAGGAACACCAAUGGCGAAGGCAGCUCGCUGGGACGUGACUGACGCUGAGGAGCGAAAGCGUGGGUAGCAAACAGG
rnacentral:rRNA from 1 species